rnacentral:lncRNA from 1 species
AUCAACAUUAUUAUUUAGAUUAAACCACAAGCAUGAAUCAAGGGGAUUGAAUGCAUUUUGGGUCAACCAAGACAAUUUAAGCAAUCAACUAGAAUUAAUUAUAUUUAUCAACAAGGAAAUUAUGACUUAUUUGAAUGCUAAUUGAGAUGCACCAAAACCCUUAUACAUACCAAGUUUUUAGAAGAGAGAAAGAUCCCCGACACAACACACAACUUGUCAUUUUACAUUCGUUUCA